AUGAGAGCACUAAGUGCUCUGCAAGUCACAAGUGUAAAUGAAGAACAUGGUGAAGUGAGAGAGGAGUGGUGAAGUCGGUGCUGGGAGUUAAACAAUGAGACGGAGGAAAAGUUUGUCAAGCUGUGGCAACAACAUCCCUGCCUUUAUGAUCUGUCGUAGAGGGACGACCACGACGAACUGAGAGAAGAGACAGCAAAUGCACUUCAGCAACCCGUGAGUAACCGCUGUUAGCAUAGCCUUGUGUCGUCUAGCAUAGCCCCUCUUCCUUCUAACGUCAUCAUAUGAGUCGCGAUGAUUGGUCAGGUACCACUGUGAAGUCUUUCAUCUCUGUCGGUUAAUCCCAGCACCGACCUCAUGGCUCUGUGAUCACCCAGAGCCUGUUCUAAAAGGAACCCCAUCAUAUUUUAAAGGUUCAAUCCUUAACUCUGAUGACAAGAGGGUUAUCAUCAUCGAUCAAUCCCCAAUAAAUGAGUAUCUUGGAGACCUCUGGUCUGGUUCUAGUGGACAGUUUCCCUCAAGAUGUCCCUCUAUGAGUUCUAGAGAAAGGUUCUUCAGACAAAAUCCCCAGAGGCAUUUCAAAGUCGAACCAUUACCUGUUGAAGAGUUCUCCAGGGAACCUCACCGUGGAGUUUCUGAUUUGGUACCUUUUAAAAUCUGUAACCCUGUAUUUGAGACUCUGAGUACCACCCUCUAAAGGGGAACCGAACCGUAAAUAAAAACAUCCCUCCAGGAACCAAACUGGGUUUAUUCUAAAGAGACAAGCUGAAGACGUCGGCAGUGUAUAAUUUCAGGGAGCAGUGACACUCAGAGAUGUCGUAAAAGAAACCUUCAUUCAGUUGACGUCUGAGUUCCUGUCCUGUCAGUCAUCCUCCUGGCCCUGUAUCUACAGUGCCUGCCUGGAGCUAUAGAGGACUGACUGUCUUUUGGAGGGAGGGUGUGUCCACAGUGACCUGGAUGUCUCCCUCCUUUCUCCUCGUACGUCUCUUCUUCUGCUGUCAGCUUGAGACAGCAUUUACAAAGACUGGAAUGAGACACUCGAGAUCCUCGGACUGUAUGUCAUGAAAUCUUUGAUUCCGGAUUCCUCUGUUGACGCCGACUCACUUUCUUCAGGUGUAGGAAAAAAACAAAAGCAUUGUCUGAUCCGGUGAGUCAGAGGAACGGGAGAGGAUCCAAAUUGUGCAGCGCUGACCUCAGGGCUUGAGCUGAUGUAUCCAUAAUGCACAGAGGCACAGAGUCAAACAUACAGGAUGCUUACCAGAUUUCAUGUUGGUAGGAUGAGACUGAAGUUGAACAUGUGAUCAGGGCGGGGUCUAGAGACAGAUUUACUGAUAAUGUUUCAACACCAGGGAAACAUGUGAAAUCACAGCUGGUUAGGUUUUAUGCUCCAUCGGUAGAAAAAACAAAACAAAGCAACUCAAAUGCAACCUGAGCAGGUUUUAAGAGGUAGCUGGUCUGUGAGACUCACUCCCACAGAUUCCAAACAUCCCUGAAACCUGAUCAGGUGACCUCCUGACCCGCAGCUCAGACACAAAGCUCAGGUGAUUUGUCGGCUGAUGUCAGCGGCUUAAACUCCGUCACAGUAACCUCUCGGUUUUCUCGUCCACUAGGGGUAGUCCCGUUAAGGUGUUUUCGUGUCUCUCCUCUCAGAUUCCAGAGCAGGAACCUGAUCCUCCAUGACGUCGUCGCCCUCUGAGUGUUGCCAGAGGAAAGCUGUGUUGUGUUUCUGCAGGACUGAAGGUAACGUCAUCUUCUGUGGAAUGCGAUUCAUGAUGCGGCCUCUUCUGUUGGUCAACAAAACUCACAGAGAGUUUAGAAAUGGAUGAAACAUGAGGAGGACAGAGAGCUGCAUGAGAACAUCCGAUUUUAAGAGGUGUUGUGUCAUGAGUUGAUCUUGUUUAGUUUUGUAUUUUCCUGGUUUUGUGUUUUUAGUCUUUUCCUUUUUUUGUCGAUCAUGCCUUGGGUCUUCUUCUUAGUCAUUAUUGUGGUUUUGUUUUGUGUAUUUCAGUUGCCUUUCCCUGUGUUCUUGUCUUGUGUUCUUGUAUCCCUUGUUUAUGUAUUUUCACUUCUUAGUUCAGUCUCCAAUGUUUCUUGUUUUAUUUUGAAGUUCUUGAUGGGUCUGGUUUAGUUUUACUUCCUGCCCUCACCUGUUUCUCUCUAGUUUGAUUACACUCAUCAGUUUCACCUGUGUCUGUUAUCACACCUGUGUUGAUUACCGUGUACUUAGUUUCUCUGUUUCAGUUCAUUGAGUGUCUCACCUGUGUCCUGCUGUUCUUCAUGUUCUCCAGUGUUUCUCGUGGAUUUAGAUAAGAGAACAUUUUGGAAGUCCUCCACAAAUAAAUGUCCAUGACAAACUGAAGAAGAAGCAACAUCUCAGAAACAGGUGGCCUCAGAUCCUCCCAUAUAUCCUCCUCUAUGAUCCUGAUCCCACUUCUAAUCAACCCUGCAUUUACCUGGACUUUCCAUGCCCAUCUGCUCACCUGGCUCAUCUUUUUCUCACCAAAAUGAUUUCACUAUGGUUCAUUGGUUUGUUUGUCAGUGUCUGUUUUGCUUUGAAAUGACUUUUAAAGUUUUGUCUGUUCAUCUUUAAG